UACGUAGGGACCAAGCGUUGUCCGGAAUCAUUGGGCGUAAAGCGCGCGUAGGCGGCCCGGUAAGUCCGUUGUAAAAGUCGAAGGCUCAACCUUCGAAAGCCGAUGGAUACUGCCGGGCUAGAGUACGGAAGAGGCGAGUAGAAUUCCUGGUGUAGCGGUGGAAUGCGCAGAUAUCAGGAGGAACACCGGUGGCGAAGGCGGGUCUCUGGGCCGAUAUCGACGCUGAGGAGCGAAAGCGUGGGGAGCGAACAGG
rnacentral:rRNA from 1 species